UUCAGUAAUUUCGUAUCAAGAAAUGAAAUGCGUACUUCUCCUUCUGACGCCCGGAUGAAGCCAGUAGCGUCGAAUCUCCAUUUUGCGAUCCCCUCUGCUCUUCCUCUCGUCACUCCUCACUCUGUGCUAACCGCCAUUCCUGAUUUAUCACACACGCACGGAGACAGAGAGAGUGGGUGAGAGAGAGAGAGAUGAGCUGAGGACGAAAGCUAUGGCGUCAACCUCUGCAGCUCCAAGCCCUAAUCUAGAGCUCACGAACAAUCCCUCCAAAACCAGAGAAGAAGGAGAGCUCUCUUCUUCAGGCGACGACGAUUUCCCCACUUGCUCUGGGACACAUAACACUAGCACUGCUGCCCCUGCAGCCCCGGAUGAGUCCUUUCCUGCUGCUGCAGAAAACAAAAACACUGGAAGCUUUAAAGCUGGAAAAUACAUUUCCACAAUUAAUCAUGCAAGUUCUGUUGAUAUUCAUUCCAAAGCAUCGGUGCAGCCAAACCACUGUAAGGGUUUUGAGAAGAAUCGAGUCCCAUUGAAAUCUGGCACACCUGCAUGGUUUGUGCCAUCAAGGGUCAAUAGUAACCUUGUGAUAAGCUUCUCUGAUGAUGAUAGUGGCAGUGAUUCUGAAGAGUGUGGACAAGAAAAAGCUUCAGAAACCAAGGGCAACGCUCGCGGAGUGACAAGCAAUAGAAGACCACCUAUUCCAACACAGGGAAAGAUGCAAAUGUUAUGUCAGGCUACAAGAAAUGAAACUAAAUUUAUGCCUAAGAAAGCUUCACUAAAUCGCACAGUUAUCUCAUCAAUGACCAAAACCCCUGGAACCAAUUCUAGGAAUGCUGGGUUGGCCUCGAUUGAGCAAGGAUUUCGAGUUAGAAAUCUAAAUACCUUCAACAAAAAUUCAGCAGGCCGAGAGCACGGGUCUAACCAAAAUGUGGUUUUGAACAGUAGCAAACUCCAGGACUUACGCCACCAGAUUGCAAUGCGAGAAAGCGAACUAAAGCUUAAAUCAGCCCAGCAAAACAAGGAAAUAGUUUCAAGUUUAUGCAAAGAUUAUGAUAUUAUAAGCUCAAACAAUGAUGCUACUAGAAAAACCAGAUUAACUUCUACUGAAAUUGAGCUAUCAGAGCCAAAAGAGCCGGAAAAGAAACGCAUGAAACUCAAUGAACCUUAUUCUAGUAGUUUGCUGGAUGUUGGUCGAGGAAUAAAAGAAGCAAUUACUGAUAACAGUCAUAUAAAAGAACCAAUUACUGAGAACAGUCAUCCUCAGGAAAAGAGUAUGGUUGAUCGUAGCUGUUGUGAGAAAGAAAUUCCGACUGGCACGACAAUGUCAAGCAUUGUUAAAUGGCAAAAACAAGAUGACAAACUGGUUCCUGAUUCCACGCAGAGUUUACAAAUGGGAGUGAAAGAUGGUGGUGACACGACAGCUAGUUGCAGUCAGUCUGAAAAGAGGUUGAGGAUGCCAGAUCCUCUUUUGCAAAAUCAAACUGCUCCAUCAGCAAAUGUGACUUCUAAAACCUGUUUAGGGAAAUCAGCAUCUCAGAGCGCUGCAUCAUUUUGGAAUUAUUUGGAUGAAGCAAAUAUCGCAGGACAUAGUGAUGUGGAUGUUCAGUCUUUAGUAGAAAUAGAGGAAAUGCAAGACAAGGAGCUGGAGGAAGCACAGGAGUACAGAUGCAGGUGUGAAAUUGAAGAAAGAAAUGCUCUAAAGGCAUAUCGUAAAGCACAAAGGGCUUUGAUUGAGGCUAAUGCUAGAUGCACUUACCUCUAUCGCAAAAGGGAGCUGUACUCAGCUCACUUCCGAUCCCUUAUAAUGGAGGAUUCCAGUUUACUAUGGUCCUCAGGGAAGCAGAAUCGUAUUGGCAUUGGAUUAAAUUCCUCAAAUAACGCAUCUAAAGUUGAUGCAGAUCUAGUGCCCAUGUCAAACCAUCAAAUGCAGAAUGGAUUUGAUAUUUAUAAUCGACCAAUGUAUCAUCCAAAUAUUCAAUUUGCUGAGGGUGCUCUUCUCAAUAUGUCUGAUCGGAAUGCGGAUGGACAAAAUUUGGGUUCUGAAGCGUGCAGUGAACCUGAUGCUAGUACAUCAGAGAUAUUGCCUGAAAAGGUUGGCCUUAUUGCAAAUGGUGUCUGUUCUCCUUCUAGUGAUAAUAAUACAGUAGCAGAUGAAGAUGAAGAAAUGCUUUCAUUUGGGCAGAAGGCUGCUCAGCCCAACCUAGAGUGUAAUAGAAAGGAACGAAUUUACGAAGAAAGAGAAGAAAACAUGAAUGAUGAUUCAAAAAGAGGAUUAUCUGUUGAUAGCUCCCAAGACUCUUUACUUCUUGAAGCUUCCUUAAGGUCUGAAUUGUUUGCACGGCUAGGAAAGCGAACUUAUUCGAAGAAUGGUAGCCCUGCUCAGGGUGUGGAACCUAUAGUGGAAAGAGGAGCAGAAAAUGAUGAUGAAAGUGGAAAAUCACAAAUGAGCAUGAGUAAUGUGUGCUUCUCGAAGGCAGAGAAAAAUCGACAAUCUGAUGUUGGAGGAAAGCAAUCUCUCUCAAAUGACAGUGGUCCUGCUCGGAGUGCUGAUCCUAUAAUUGAAAGAGGGGCUGAAAAUGAUGAUGGAAGUGAAAAAUCACAAAUGAGCCUGGGAAACAUGCCCUCCCAGGCAGAGAAAAACCAACGCUCUGAUUUUGGAGAGGAAAGCAGAUGUCCUAUAAGAGAAGCUCACGAUCCUGGAACGUCUUUCUGCAUUUCACCUCUUCCUAUUCUGAUGAGUCCAUUUGCUCACUUGAGGGUUACAUCCCCAGUCAAUUUCAUGGGAUUACAUGGUAGAGAUAAGGAGAAUAGAUCUUAUGAUAAUUGUAGUGUAGGAGGCAUCAGUGCCAGCUCCAACAAAGUCCAGCCAGGCAUCAUGAGACCAGACUAUAUGCUGGAGACUCUAAGAGAUACAUGUUUUGGAGAAGUUGGUUCUUAUACCUGCAAUUUAACUAUCGAUCCAAUUUGGCCGCUUUGCAUGUAUGAACUGCGAGGAAAAUGUAACAAUGAGGAAUGUUCCUCGCAACAUUUUAAAGACUACUCUGCCAGAAAUUCGAAUCAACAUGGUGACUCUAACGGUGCUGCUUCUUGCCCUGGAUCAUUAUCACAUCAAGGAAAAUUUAAUGCUUGGAGUCUUGGGCAUUGCUGGCGAAAGUGUUUCAGUACUGCCUUGGCAAUUUCAAAUUCUCUUCAGAGGAGUUUGCCAUCAGAUAAUCCAUUUUUGCUUGGGAAUGAUAGUCGCAUUGAGGUCCAUGCGAGUUGGAAUAGGCAGUCAUUGUAUUUUCAAAGUCAAAAUUGCGAAGUGGAUCAACUUAAACAAGGUUUGGGUGAUUAUGACCAUACCUUGGAAAUGGUUUUUUUUGCUCUUAAUCAAGAAUCUAAUCCGGGUGUGAAUAAGGCUUUGGACAUGCUAUCACGAGCUCUUGAGAAAGAUCCAACAUCUGUAAUUCUCUGGGUUGUUUACCUGCUUAUUUUCUAUGCAAACAAGAAUUCAAUUGAGAAGGAUGACAUGUUCUUUCAUGCGAUCAAACAUAAUGAAAGAUCUUAUGAACUGUGGCUUAUGUACAUCAACAGUCGGGUGCAUCUUGAUGAGCGGUUGGUUGCAUACGACACUGCACUCUCAGCGCUUUGUUGUCAUGCAUCUGCUUCUGGCAGUGACGUAAUGCAUGCUAGUGCAUGCAUUUUGGACUUGUUUUUGCAGAUGAUAGAUUGUUUCUGCAUGUCUGGGAAUGCCGAGAAAGCCGUGCAGAGGAUUUGUGGGCUCUUCCUUAAUACAAAGAAUUCUGACAGUUCCCAUUCUCUGUUGCUCUCUAAUCUUCUCCCAUACUUAACACUAUCUGACAAAUGCAUAUUCUGGGUUUGUUGUGUAUACUUUGUAGUCUACAGGAGACUUCCCAAUGAAAUAGUGCAGCAGUUUGAAUUUGGGAAAGAGCUUUCUGCAAUAGAGUGGCUUUCUGCCCGCUUGAUGGUCAAUGAGAAGCAACAGGCAAUCAAGCUGAUUGAAAUGGCAGUGGAUUCUAUUGCAUCAUACAAAGAUGAUGAAUCAGUUAGAAGUGAAACUACCUUUAGAUCAGUACAUCUGUUUGCUGUUAACCAUAUUAGCUGUAUGGUGGCUCUUAAUGAGUUAGAAUGUAGUCAAAACUUGUUGGACAAAUACAUAAUGCUGUAUCCAUCCUGUUUAGAACUAGUUCUGAUUUCAGCACGGGCACAGAAGCAUGAUUCUGGGGAUUUGAGUUUUGUGGGGUUUGAAAAGGCCCUGAGCAACUGGCCAAAGGAAGUGCCAGGUAUUCAAUGCAUCUGGAACCAGUAUGUUGAAUAUGCACUCCAGAAUGGAAGAUCUGAUUUUGCAAAAGAACUCAUGGUUCGAUGGUUUCACUCUGUUUGGAAGAUUCAUUGUCCUGAAAAUGGAAUCUUAAAUGCCAUGGAUAGUGAUAAUGGUCAUAAUUCGUGUGGCUUGAUAGAGUCAGCUUCAGCAUCAAGUCCAGACAUUUUAAAAUCUGAUUUUAAUCAGAGGGACGCGCUGUUUGGUUUGCUUAAUCUCUCUCUCUGUAGAAUUUUGCAGAAUGAUCAUGCUGAAGCUUGCAUAGCUAUUGACAGAGCAUUGAAGGUUGCUGCUCCCAAGGAUUUUAAGCAGUGCGUGAGGGAGCAUGCUAUGUUUUUGCUUACUGUUGGGCCACAAUCGGAGGAGGAUGCUUCUGUCAAUGGAAUUCUGAACAUCCUGAAAGGCUAUUUGGUUAAUGCCCGGGCUUCCCCAGAGUCUCUGCCGCUGUCUAGAAAAUUCAUUCAGGACAUAAAAAAACCAAGGAUCCGCCAGCUAAUGAAUAGCAUACUGUGUCCAAUUUCAGCAGAUUUUUCUCUAGUUAACUUGGUUCUUGAAGGAUGGCAUGGGCCCUCUCUCCUACCGCAUGAAUUUGGUAAGCUAAAGUAUCUGGUGGAUUUUGUUGAAGCCAUUAUGGAGAUUUUGCCAUCUAACUAUCAGCUAGCAAUUUCUGUAUGUAAGCUGCUGCUAAGAAGAGGCGUGAAGUCUGAUAAGGUCAACUCUGCGAGUGUUUUGUUCUGGGCAAGCUCACUUUUGGUCAAUGCAAUCUCUGAGGCUGUUCCUGUAGCACCUGAGUAUAUAUGGGUAGAAGCUGCAGGUAUUUUGGGUAAUCUAUCAGGGGUGCGGACCAUCUGUGAGAGCUUUCUCAAGCGAGCUUUGUCAGUGUAUCCCUUCUCCAUUGGGUUGUGGAGAUCCUAUCUCAGUUUUUGUAGGGUAACUGGGAGUAUGAGUACUGUUGUAGGGGCAGCGAGAGACAAGGGUAUAGAACUUGAAUAAUUUUGGCUUUUUCCAGAUGGAAGUUGAGAAUAUCAGGUGGAUGGGUUGAAUUGGCAUCUGCUGAUGGACAAUUUGAAGGCCAGUUGUGUUUGUUUGGGAGGUUCUCUGCAAUGCAGGGGUUGUAAGACUUGUAACAAACUAGGAAGAGGAAAGCAUAUAGGAAGCACUUACUGAGACAGCAUUUGAGGAUAUCCGAGCAAUAGUUUUGACUGGUCAUAUUGCAUAACGGCUGCAGCAGAGUGUCGCAGCAUUUAAAAAGGGAAAUGGUUAGAGGUGGGCUUGGCCAUAUUGGGGCAAAGCUGAAGGGCAUUUAGCUAAGGCUUGGCAACAGUGAACUCAUGGCAUGAAUUUUGAUGCAGCUUUUACUCUCUUUAGGCUUUCAUAGCAUUAGUUGCUGGGAAAGAGGAUAUGGGGUUAAUUGCUGCACUGGAUGUGUCUCUGGGAGAAACUUAUGCGGUCAUUUUUGCCAUCUGCAAGGCAAAGGAGUUAAAACUUUGAUUUCAAAGGAGACGCAAAGCUUGUCAUCGAUGAGAUCUCAAGGCCCCCGUAGAGUGUUCUGAAUGGAGAUUGACCAUAUUGUAAAUGAUAUUAGCAAGUUGAAAUAUCGUUUUCCUGGGCAGUUCAUGUUUACCCACGGGGAUGCUAAUGGGCUAACCCAUGCUUUGGCUGCUGGGGCUGCCUCCUUGCCAGAUUAAAGAGGAGUUGUUCAUUCUGUUUCAGACUUCCUCCCAAAGUCGUCAUUUCAAAGCUUCAGGGAUCCAUCUGGGAGCUCCUUUAGUUGAUUUGGCAUUCUGUUCUUGCUGCAUGUUUUUUUUUGUUUGGUUGCUUUCUUUUGUGUUUUGGUGCCGAGUCUCUUUGCCCAGCAGAAGACAUGGAAAAAAUGUAUGAAAAAACAUCGGAAUCAGGGCAUAGGCAGUCCCAUUGUCUGGACCUUCAGCUCCAAUUUUAGGUCAACAUAAGAAAAAUAAAAAUUAAGUGAUAAAUUUUAUUUUAUUUUAUUUCUACACAUAAUAUAGGAACGUAGUAUUUCACAAUAAAGAUUUAAAGUUUUGGAUAUAGAUUUGUAUUGAUUACUUAAGAUGCAAUAAGAAAUUGUCUUUAUUUUUUAUUAAAA